UACGUAGGUGACAAGCGUUGUCCGGAUUUACUGGGCGUAAAGAGCGCGCAGGCGGUCGAUCAAGUCGAGUGUGAAAGCCCCCGGCUCAACUGGGGAGGGUCAUUCGAUACUGAUCGACUCGAAGGCAGGAGAGGGUAGUGGAAUUCCCGGUGUAGUGGUGAAAUGACGUAGAUAUCGGGAGGAAGACCAGUGGCGAAGGCGGGUCUCUGGGCCGAUACUGACGCUGAGGAGCGAAAGCGUGGGGAGCGAACAGG
rnacentral:rRNA from 1 species